AUGAAUCUUCUGGCCUGGAACUGUCGAGGGUUGGGGUUGACCUCGAUAGUUGGCAAACUCCGGGACCUCAUUAGGUCAUACAACCCAGCGGUGGUAUUUUUAUGUGAAACAAUAAAGAAAGCAAGGGCGAUGGAGAAGUUGAAGUGGAGUCUUGGCUUUAAGAACGGUGUAGCAGUGGACUGUGUAGGUCGAAGUGGGGGAUUAGCAUUGUGGUGGAGAGAU
rnacentral:rRNA from 1 species